CGCAACUUUUUUCACUAUCUACCUAGACCUUUUCCCUUUCUUUUGUAGUUGUGUUUCUAGGUCUGUUGAAACUUGAAAUCUUAACCCAUUUUUUAAGUGAAUUUGCAAUUUUCUCUAAUAUCUAUCGCUUCAUCAGUUCCUGUGCUCAGCCCAGCUUCAUCAGGCUCUGUUGUGGCUGAUUUUACAAGGUCGGCAAAAAUUAGAGGCUGGAAACGACGUGGGUUUCUUUUUUGUUUUUUUAAUUUCGCCUGUUUGUUGAUCUAUCUUCAUUUCUAAGACUAUUAUAUGAAGGCUUGCAUAUGCCUUUCGUUUUUCUUGCUAUUUGUGGUGGAAGUUAGCUAUCUUCCUAUGUAUUUUAUUGAUCUUAACAUUCUUGGAGGCUUCGAAUUUGAGCCUCAUGCUUUUAAAGUUGAUAUAUUACCUUAUAUUAUCUGAUAAUAGAAAUUGAUUUUAUUUUUUUUAACCCAAACCUUAUAAGCCUAAUUCAAUCAUUUACUUCCCUUAUCUUUACUUUAUUAAUUUUAGAGGAAGAAGAAAGGACUCAUCGAGAACAAAGGAAAAAUGUGAACAGGAAGUAUUUGACCAUCUUUAUAUUUGGAUACCACUUCAAACAAUAAAAAUCAUAAAAACAGAGAAGUGGGAAAAGGCAACAGGAAACUCAAGCUUGGAGAAAUUGUUUUGGCUAUAAUAUAUGGUAAGCCAUGGUGCCUUUAUUUGAAGAAUUAGUUUAGAUAUGUAUAUUUUUAUCUGUUAAGAUUAACAGUUUCAUUCCUAAUCUCAUAUUCAGGAUUUUCAUAAAUACGAAGGGGAUUAUAAAUGAUAUAAAUUUACUUAGAAUUGAUAUGAUGAUUACUUGUUCUGACUUCUAUUUCCGUUUUUCAACUAUGGCAUAACAUUAGCCAAAAUUUAGUUUCAUAUGUUUAUAGAUCUAGAAUCAAAUUGUUUUGAUUCAAUUGUGUUGGAAAGAGAAGAAACCCAACAAAACCAUGUGGAUUAAAAUUGUUGGAAGAGAAAAGGCAAAUAGAGAAAUGGAUUUCAUUUGAUAAUCAUGUGUGAAGUAUACUUUUAUUAGGAGAGAAGACAACAAAUAUUAAAUUAAGUUGAACAGAGCAUAAAUGAAAAGAAAAGAAUUGCAAUAUUUUAUUGUCUAAUUGCGACUAAAAAUAUGAAUGAUGUUCCCUUCCGUCAGUUAACCUUUCAGCAAAUUGGGAAAUCACAAAAAUAGGUUUCCAGAAUCAUAUCUACAAGAGCAUGUAUGUAUGUAUAUUCAAAUGGAGAAAGCAACAUUAGUAUUACAAGGUAUAUAUAUAUAUUGCUUUCAGUCAGCCAUAAGAAAAGGAAAGUGCGAAAAGGAAAUUAGUUACUUUGUUGCUUACAGGCAGUUUGAAAUCCCAAUGGAAAUGAGUAACAAUUCAAUUCUUACAAAGAAAUCUAUUAAUUUACAGGUUAUUGAUCUUGAAAGUAAUGUAUUCAUAAGGGAUUUCCUCGGGGUAAGUUAAACAAUUUUAAUUAUCUAUACUUUCGUGGAAAUAGCUGCUCAAGUUCCAUUCCUUUCAUUUUUGGCAAUUUCACAUUGGUUUAGAGUCUUAAUUUUAGAGCCAAUCACUUAAUUGGAGCGUUUCUUGAUAAAUUGAUGCUUGUGAGAGAUUUUACUUAAUUGAAUCUCAAUGGAAACAAGUCUUUGGGUCUAUUGUAGUGAACAUUGGAUAUUUCAAUCAACUUGCAGUUUUGAAUUUUAGUAAUAGUGGUCUGUCGGGUACUAUUACAGAAAACUUUUAGGCUUUAUUUAAGUUUACAGUUCAUUUCGCCAAAAAGAAUUUCUCGAUAAAGUUGCCAAAACAUGUUUGAUCAAUUUUUUUUGCUGCUUAUGUGUAUGGGGCUCGAUUAUAUUAUAGUGGCGAGAUCAUUUUCGAGUAAAGGUAUUUAAAUACAUAUUUUUCUCCAGUUGAUUGUUCAUGGUUUUCUGUACAAGUCUUCGAUUUCGUUCAUCCAUUCUUCUUUUUCUCUUCAUCUAUUUGACUUUUUUUUUAAUAUUUUAUUCAUUUCAUUCUUCCGUUCAUCCUCUCAGGUUCAUUAGUAGCUUCAAUCAUCAUGACAGGAUAAAUGAGCCUGUACUCUCCUCUGCAAAAGGUACAAGACUGCUGGUGGUGAGCUCUAAAAACCAAUCUUUCACUUUUUCAAUCUCAAGCUCAAUUUUGUACUCUCCUAGCGACAUUAUUUCAAUUGCAUAGUGAUAACAAAUUCGACUUUGUAAGUUUACUUUUUUCUAAAUUUUUGCAUGAUUUCUUUGUAUUUCUUUUUUACGUGCAAGUAAACGAUUAGCAAAUUGAGGCGUUUAAUACUGAAUAUGGGGUUAACAUAGGCAUUUAUUACGUCAAUUUUUUGCUUUAAUCGUUGUCUUCUGUAUUGUUUAUAGUGGAAUGUUCCAUUUGGGAUUAAAGGGUAUUGCUUUACUAAUCUCGAUGUAGCUGAUCUUCUGAUCAAUGGGAUAGUUGAUUUGCCUUUGGCGCAAAUUGAUAAAAGUAUAGCUGAAUGAGAACUUUUUCAAUGGUUUGUACAUGAGGUGAUUAAAUGGCCUGUUAUUUUGUACCAUGAUUAAUCAGCACUGUUGUUGGUUCUAUGAAUGAUUUUUUUACCCAGUGCGGUUCUUGUGACUUCAAAUUGUUUUACUUUUACCGUAACUGAAGAUUCUAUAUGUUUCUAGUUUGCAUGUAUUGUAUUUAUAUUAAUCUCUUUAAUUUUUCAAGGUUACAGCAAAUGGUGAUGCUAUUUUAAGUUGUGGUUUUCCUUACUGUGAUUAUCAUUAUACUGAUCAUGUUAUAUUCUAAUCAAGUCAGAACAACUAUAUGGUUUAGAAUGAAUUGGAUACUGAUGAUUUUGCCAGGGAGACCAAGUCGAGAAAUUCCGACCUCUAUGUGAAGUUUAAAUUGACAAAGCAACCAUAGAAAUAACGAGUCCUUACAAAGGAAAAGUUUUCCAUUUUUUUCAUAUUCCAGGCAACAUCGUAAAGGUAACAAUAAAACUGAUAGAACUAGAAUUUAUUUUAAAAUCAAAUGCUUGGGCCACUUUCACAUAAUGGAGUUCUAAUAUCAUCUACCUGUGGUUCCGGAGUUACGUCAAGGAUAGGUGACAGACUUAUGUGUAUAACUCUGUCCAUAGUAAAGGACUUGCUCUUUUAAUAGUCUAAUAUUGAAUUAUCAAUCAUUUUCUUUCAUUUAUGUGUAGAUAAAACUUUCCUCUCUUGCAAGCAAGAUAUUCAAUUUAUGUGAUACCGUGAAAAAAACAUGGUGAACUUCGAAUACUAGAAGGAAUUAAGACUUUAUCCAAGAUUGUUUAACCUUAAGUAAGGCUUGGUCACACUUUUUGAGUUUCUUCCUUGUGUUAUGUUGUGACUUUAUGUUAAAGGCAUAUUAAUUUGUCUGUUCACAAUCGAAUUUAUUAAAACAAAAUAUACUAUACAUUCAUGUUUCUAUUCUAGAUGGCAAUCAUGAAACAAAUGUUCACUUUUAAAAGCUUUCCUUUAUGUACUACUGAAUCCUAGAUCAACUUUCAAUUAUAUGCAUAAACAUUGCAGAAUUUGUAGUUGGAAAGACCAAUUAAGGCAUCAUAAAGUAAAGAUUGAUGACAAUGUUUGCAUUGUGAUGGUGACAGGCUGGUUCUUGAGGUAAUCUUCUCAUAAAAUUUUAGUAAUUGUGGUACAUAUGUGAAUCACAAUAUUCAUGUAAAUAUAUUUUCCUUUUCCAAUCACAAGGUUAGUUCUAAAAUGCAGCUAAAGAUAUUCACUGCAUAGCUUUUUUCAUGUCACUUUUAUUGGAGAUGAGAAUAGUAGCACUUAUGUUGAAAAUAAGGUUGCAUUUUCAUUUUCAUUUUCAUUUUCAUGUUGUUUACUUAUUUGAGUUGAUAAAGCAACUCCAUUAUGGAAAUUAGGGCAUGCUCAAAGCCAAGGUAUUUAUUCACAUAAUAACUACAGUAAGCCUCUGAUGACCUCAUUACUUUUCAUUGUCUUGAAUAGUAUGUCUAAAUAAGCAUAAAAAAAAUUUACAAGAGAAGCAAUAUCUUAGAAAUAUAGUGUUCCUUUAUUAGCCCUUUCAUUUUUAUGCCAUUUCUCUUUUCAUUCAAGAGCGCAACUUCUUUGCAAAAGAACAUACCCCUUGAAGAAGUUUUUCAAUGUCAUCCAUGCACAUGAGAUCGCUUCAGCACGGAUGAAGUUAAAAAAAGAUUGGAGUUAUUUAUGCACAAUAAACUAGAAGAUAAAAAACAUAAGAGUUGCAACCCCUACCCCAACCCACAUGCCUGGCUUCUGGUCAUCUUAUUUAUUUAUUUAUUUAUUUUUUAUUUCUUGAUCUUUUGUAUCUAUACUGUAAUGUCUAUAGGAAAGCAAUUUUUUGAAAAUUUUAAGUUUUAUGUGAAAUCCUCUAUCACAGGUGCUGAAAAGCAGCUGCUUUAAUGGCCAUUGUUCUUGCAAACGGAGGAGUAAGGAUCAUUUCAACUUUUAUCUCUCCUACAUCACCAUUAGUGAAAUAUCGAAGCAAGGGUCUCAAGUUAGAUUUUUUAACUUUUUAGAAUUAUAAGCUUGAUUGUUACAGUUAAAGAAUCAAAUACUGUAAUAAAAUCAUUUCCUAAACCUAUUUUCUACUGCACACCGUCAAACUUUCUUGACUUUGUUGGCCAUAUUAUCUCCCUCCUUAUCAACUUUAGAAUAAGUUUUACUGAGGAAAAUAGUGCUAAAAAUGCAGCGCUUCCC
rnacentral:lncRNA from 1 species